UUGGAGGGCAAGUCUGGUGCCAGCAGCCGCGGUAAUUCCAGCUCCAAUAGCGUAUAUUAAAGUUGUUGCAGUUAAAAAGCUCGUAGUUGAAUUUCGGGAUCGAAUUGUUGGUCGUGCCUCGGUACGCACUGGCAUUAUCGGUUCCUACCUUCUGAAGAACCGCGAUGUCAUUAAUUUGGUGUCGUGGGGAAUCAGGACUGUUACUUUGAAAAAAUUAGAGUGUUUAAAGCAGGCUUACGCUUGAAUACAUUAGCAUGGAAUAAUGAAAUAGGACGUUUGAUUCUAUUUUGUUGGUUUCUAGGAUCGACGUAAUGAUUAAUAGGGAUAGUUGGGGGCAUUAGUAUUCAAUUGUCAGAGGUGAAAUUCUUGGAUUUAUUGAAGACUAACUACUGCGAAAGCAUUUGCCAAGGAUGUUUUCAUUAAUCAAGAACGAAAGUUAGGGGAUCGAAGACGAUCAGAUACCGUCGUAGUCUUAACCAUAAACUAUGCCGACUAGGGAUCGGAUGAUGU
rnacentral:rRNA from 1 species